UGGAGUCAAUAUCUUCAAGAAGCAUGGCUUGAAAGGAAUGAAAGACUCAGGGUAUUGGGGGUAGAGGCCUGUGUGCUUGCAGGGUAUGCUAUUUUCUAUUCCCCAAACCAAAGAGACCAGGAUGCCAGUUCAAAAAGAAUCGUCAGGACAGAGUGGAGAAUUGGAAUGAUCUUCACAGGUGAGUAUUCAUGUUGAGAGGGGAGUGUGGUAUUUUCAAAGCAGCAGUGGAGUUCCAGGAAGACCUCCUUCCUCUCCCUCUGGGCCCCACUCUGCCUCUGCGACCCAUGGCACAGGAAGAGCUAGGGUGGUGGUGGGGGACGUGGGUUGCUGAGAUCACGUCUCAAUGUAUGCUCCUUAGACUCCACAGACACUUUAAUGUAUUUUUCCUCCCUGGAUGAUCUGAUCUUCCUCAUGAGUGUUCACCCUUCAUACUGGUUAGUAACGGGAAAACCCCCACUGAAGUUGCUUCUGACUUGGAAAGUGUGGUUGCAUGCAACCAACUGAAUAUCCACAGAUACAAAUGCUCAGUCUAUUCUGGUGAACAUGCUCUCUACUUCUUUCAGCGAUGGACUGGGGUAUAUGUCACUUACAAGGCUCGCAGUCAUGUGGGAGAGGGAGUCUAUAACACGGCAUACGUUUGUUCCUCACAGAGGCCUCAGUGUUCCCUGAGGGAAAAAUGACUGUCCUCUCCUGGCUCCAGCUGUCGAUGCUGACCUGUACCGCCCAUGGGUGGGGGUGGUGAAACCUGCAUUUUUGUCUCCCUCCUCUUGCUGUGGACCCAGUGCUCCCUGGCUGACUGAGCCUCAGCCACCCUGCUGGCAUCAGCACACCCCUCUGAAUCUGGGUAUCAUCGUCCAGCCCAUCAACAGGCAGGGACGUCCACCCUCGGCCCCAAGGUCCCCUAGCCCAUUGCCUGCUUAGGCUUCAUCUGGGUUCAGUCCCUUUCCACAUUUCUUCCUAAAGUGAUGCAGAUCCCUCCCUUGGAUCUCACCUGCACAGCAGCAGGAACCAAGAUCAGCUCCAGAAAACAAAAUUCCUAAACUGCAGCCACCCUUCUGCCCAAAGACUCCGUUGGGUCACUGUACAGUGUGCCCCUGGAGUCCCAGGUGCGAAUAGGGUGGAAUCCUCCUGUCCCCGGUGUUCAUUUCUUGUCACACCUCCCUUGUCUGAGCUUGCUCACCUCUGCCUGCCACUGCCUCUGUGGGCCAUUCCCCCCUGUGACUUUGGGAUGCUCUUUCCUUUGUCUUGUCUUUCAUUUGACCCAAGACUUCCCAAACAAUAGGUGCAAGGCAUGGGAUCCCGAGCAGAGGUGAGGGGCUGGUGUAGUUAGGAGCACACAUGCAGAGGGGCAGCUGACUGCCAGGGCAGAAACACCGAGUUUGGGACUGGGAAACUUGAGAAAUCCCACGGGCUUGCUUCUUCCUUCUCCAAGAAUUAUUGCCGGGUGGGGCUGGUGGUCAUCAGGAUGGAGGAACGUUACUACUAUGUAGUGUAGUAGUGUAGGUAGGUGAGAGUGAAAAUGAACAGCAGUUCCUCUCUGGCCAGGGAUUUAAGAUAAAACACUUCUGUAAAGUUGUAAAGUUUGCUUCUCAACGCUCUGGUGCUCAGACAUAGGCAGGGCGUGGGUAGGCAGGAGGGUGCAAGGAGAACAAGAGGUGUGUUUGCCAGGGACAGAUUCCAGCCCUGGCUCAGUGGAUCCAGGAGGGGCCAGGCGAGUAGUGUUGAAGGACGUGUGGUAGGUGAGGUGGGGGUUUCCCAGAUUCUGGUAUCAGUGCAUUGGCACUAGAGCGAGGGAGCUGGAGGACAGGACAUCAUGUUGAGGGUGAUGAGAGGGAGGAAGGCUAGAAACAGGACACCAUGAGGGGCGCGGUCUUUCCUGAUGCCUGGGGCGGGACCAUGGGCAAGGGGAUGCUCGGGUGGGGAGGAGGGGAACAUCGAAGAGGACGGAGAGUCCCCGGGAUGACCGGGUGAGCCUCGUGGGCACUGAGGACGGAUCAGAAGAGUGAGGGCUGAGAGAACAGUCGCUGGAGAGGAGCCCGCGGUCCACGGGUGGUCUGGCCGGGCCCCUUCGAGAGGGUUCCUUCCUUUCUCUGGUUCUCAAGGGCAUCCUCCUCAACAUCCGCAUCCACGCUGUCCAGUCCUCUGCGCGAAAACAGAAGGGAUGGAUUUUCUUCCGGUCCUGUGGCGUUUUGAUUUCUGUGAUCUGCAGGUGGCAGUGUUGCUCCACGUAUCGACAUUCUGUUUCUCCCCCGCCCUUCGCCGUUGAAAAAAACGCGACAAAGCCUUUUGCCACAAGAAGUGUUGUAUAUUUUUCUCUGCUUGCACAGGUUGGCUGGUUCAAACUGCAUCUGAACCCUUCAGACAGCCCUUUGUGGAAACUUUGAACAAACUCAUUGACACUUAAAAUUACAAUAAAAUAAUAUAAGCUUAUAUAUUGAGCUCCCUUGUCUUCUGAUCCUAGAGGAAAUGCUGUAUUUAAAAAGAACUUUAUUAUGACAGUGAGUUUUGACUUGAAAAUGUUUAUGUGAAGUGGAAAUGAAAGUUGCUCAGUCCUAUCAGAUUCUUUAAGACCCCUUGGACUGUGUAGGCUGCCAGGCUCCUCUGCCCAUGGGAUUCUCCAUUCAAGAAUAUUGGAGUGGGUUGCCAUUUCCUUCUGCAGAGGAUCUUUCCAACCCAGGGACUGAACCUGGGCCUCCUGCAUUGCAGGCUGUCUCCUUACCAUCCGAGCCCCCUACAAUAAUAACAUGACAGGGACAAGUGCCAAGCUAAGAUCCUGCUGGGUAAUUGAUGCUGGACACCACCCAGGAGGCAGGUGGUGUUACUUCCCUCAUUUUUGCCUUUGAGAACUGUGGCACACAGAGGGAGAAUCAGCUGCCAAGGUUCCCUGGGUUCCUCCAGGAGUGUCCCUCCGUUCAGGUCUCAAGUCUGUCAGAUUGUAGUUUGCACACUGGUUUGCAGGAUGCUUUCCUAUCCCCAAGAGAAGAAUGAAAUAAAACAAUGGGAAUGAGGGUAAAGUGAAAGUGUUAGUCGCUCAGCACUGU